rnacentral:rRNA from 1 species
AAAGUCCGUAACAAGGUCUCCGUUGGUGAACCAGCGGAGGGAUAAUUACAGAGUUGCAAAACUCCCAAACCAUUGUGAACGUUACCCAUCCCGUUGCUUCGGCGGGCGGCCCGGGCCCCGUGCCCGGCGCCCCCCGGCCCCUCGCGGGCGCCCGCCGGAGGUAAACCAAACUCUUGAAUUGUAUGGCCUCUCUGAGUCUUCUGUACUGAAUAAGUCAAAACUUUCAACAACGGAUCUCUUGGUUCUGGCAUCGAUGAAGAACGCAGCGAAAUGCGAUAAGUAAUGUGAAUUGCAGAAUUCAGUGAAUCAUCGAAUCUUUGAACGCACAUUGCGCCCGCCAGUAUUCUGGCGGGCAUGCCUGUUCGAGCGUCAUUUCAACCAUCAAGCCCCCGGCUUGUGUUGGGGACCUGCGGCUGCCGCAGGCCCUGAAAACCAGUGGCGGGCUCGCUAGUCACUCCGAGCGUAGUAGUUACAUCUCGCUCAGGGCGUGCUGCGGGUUCCGGCCGUUAAAAAGCCUUAUUUACCCCAAGGUUGACCUCGGAUCAGGUAGGAAGACCCGCUGAACUUAAGCAUAUCAAUAA